AUCCUACGGGGGGCAGCAGUGGGGAAUAUUGCACAAUGGGGGGAACCCUGAUGCAGCGACGCCGCGUGGGUGAAGGAGUACUUCGGUACGUAAAGCCCUAUCAGCAGGAAAGAAAAUGACGGUACCUGACUAGGAAGCCACGGCUAACUACGUGCCAGCAGCCGCGGUAAUACGUAGGGGGCAAGCGUUAUCCGGAUUUACUGGGUGUAAAGGGAGCGUAGACGGCGGCGCAAGUCCGGAGUGAAAGCCCACGGCCCAACCGUGGGACUGCUCUGGAAACUGUGCGGCUUGAGUGCGGGAGGGGG
rnacentral:rRNA from 1 species